rnacentral:lncRNA from 1 species
GGGUCCAGUUCAUCUCUGCAGCCCGUCUCCUCACAUGGGACCCCAGGGAAGCUAUGGCAUUUUGGGUGACCAAAGCUCAGCCCAACAGAGCACCUGGGCACUCUUGGGCAGCUCAGUCAUCUUGCUCUGGGCUGGGGCCUUGUGCACCACAGUGAAGGDUGUGGUGGCCCUGGGUCUUCCCAUCCAGGCCCACAGCUCCACUGGCAACACAGGGUUAGAGUAUGCAGGCAGACGCCUAGGCUYUGCCUCGGGGUUGAGAUAACUGAACAGGGCGUGAGAAACCAGUGGCUAUGAGAAAUCAUUGGACACUGCAGGGAACAGAAUGAGACCCUGCCAAGUUCCAGACAGCACGGUGAGCRAUGGCUGSAUUUCAGCRGUGGUUAAGGGAGAGUUAUAUGAGAAAAGGACAAGCGUCACACAUAACUGGCGUAUUGGGGAUCCUCCGGGGAGUAGACUCUUGCAGCACCAGCAGUACCGAGGUAACGAUAUCAGAAGCACUGUAUGAGCCAGAGGUUACCUAGCUAACAGUACCAGAAAUAUUAAACUUGAGUACAUAGGCAGUAAAACUGGCACCAAUGAAGAAAAAAGUACUUAGAGAUGGGCUUUUUGUUUCAAAGGGGAUAAAGCUGGAGAAAGGGAGGGAUCAAGCUGCAUCACGUAAGAAGCAGCAUGGGAAAAUGGAGGCAGAGGGAAUAAAAGGGGCCAGUCACGUGUAAGCAAGCUGCCGGCAAGGACACUUGUCUAGCCAGGCUGUGUACCUGCUAUCUGCGGUGUAGCCUAUCAUUGUAUUAAAUCCUUUUCCUAGCUCUUUUCUGGGUGAGCAUGCUAGCUGUUCUACGUGAGUGCAUGUGUGGAAGGCUUGCAGACGUCAAGGCAGCCAGCUCCAGAAACACCUGUGCGAGGGACCAGGCCAUUUGUAUCGUUCAUAUUUAUGAGUGCUGCUCAUGUCUCCGUGGUGCCUGUAAAGGUACUGUGCCCCUGCCGGAGUUGAUUUUUGGGUGGUCGACCAUGUCCGUACAGAGUGUGUGUAUGCCUCUUGGAAGUACAUGCCCCACCUCGCUGCUGGCAGGACCAGGGAACAGAGAACCGCAGCAGUCUCCCUUCUAGCAGACCAGAAAGGAGGAAUCCCUGUAUUCAAAAAUCCACUGGAUCCAGUGUCCUUUAACAGCGCAGGCCCUGGAGGUGCUGCAGCCACU